rnacentral:rRNA from 1 species
GGGUGACGAAGCGGCACCGCGUGGGUGAGGAAGGCCUUCGGGUUGUAAAGCCCUGUCAGGAGUUAAGAAAUGUAGACUCGCUAAUAUCGGGUCUAUUUGACAAAGGCUCCAAAGGAAGCCACGGCUAACUCUGUGCCAGCAGCCGCGGUAAUACAGAGGUGGCAAGCGUUGUUCGGAAUUAUUGGGCGUAAAGAGCACGUAGGUGGAUUUGUAAGUCAGAUGUGAAAGCCUUCUGUUCAACGGAAGAAUUGCAUCUGAAACUACAACCCUUGAGUGUAGGAGGGGAGAAUGGAACUUCUGGUGGAGCGGUGAAAUGCGUAGAUAUCAGAAGGAACGCCGGCGGCGAAAGCGACUCUCUGGCCUAUUACUGACACUCAGUGUGCGAAACCUAGGGGAGCAAACGGGAUUAGAUACCCCGGUAGUCCUAGCCGUAAACGAUGGGCACUAAGUAGAGG